rnacentral:rRNA from 1 species
UACGUAGGGCGCAAGCGUUGUCCGGAAUUAUUGGGCGUAAAGAGCUCGUAGGCGGUUUGUCGCGUCUGCUGUGAAAACGCGGGGCUCAACUCCGCGCCUGCAGUGGGUACGGGCAGACUAGAGUGCAGUAGGGGAGACUGGGAAUUCCUGGUGUAGCGGUGGAAUGCGCAGAUAUCAGGAGGAACACCGGUGGCGAAGGCGGGUCUCUGGGCUGUAACUGACGCUGAGGAGCGAAAGCGUGGGUAGCGAACAGG